rnacentral:rRNA from 1 species
UACGGAGGGGGCUAGCGUUAUUCGGAAUUAUUGGGCGUAAAGGGCGCGUAGGUGGCCCGGUAAGUCAAAGGUGAAAUCCCUCGGCCCAACUGAGGAACUGCCUUUGAAACUGUCGGGCUUGAGGCCGGGAGGGGGUAGCGGAAUUCCCAGUGUAGCGGUGAAAUGCGUAGAUAUUGGGAGGAACACCGGUGGCGAAGGCGGCUACCUGGACCGGUUCUGACGCUGAGGCGCGACAGCGUGGGGAGCAAACAGG